rnacentral:tRNA from 1 species
GGGCGGCUAGCUCAGUUGGUUAGAGCGUUACAUUGACAUUGUAAAGGUCAUAGGUUCGAUUCCUAUGCCGCCCACCA